UAUGCCUGUCAUAUUUUUUUUUUUUGGGGGGGGGGCCUGGCCAGUACCUGGAUGGGAGACUAACUGGGAAAGCUGGGCUGCAGCUGGAA
rnacentral:rRNA from 1 species